AGGCUGGCCUCGAACUCAGAAAUCCGCCUGCCUCUGCCUCUCAGGUGCCAGGAUUAAAGGCGUGCGCCACCACGCCCGGCGUCUGACUCUAUUUGCUUUCUCACAAAUAAGUGUCGCACAAAUCGAACCUUAACGCCUUUGCCCACAACCGAGCCGGCUCACUCGCUAUACAGGUGCUCCAGAUCAAGGGGCGUGGACUUCUGUAUCAACUCAGCAUUGAUUGGUUCUCA
rnacentral:lncRNA from 1 species